GAGACGUGAUCAGUGAAGAUGUUUAUGG
rnacentral:sRNA from 1 species